rnacentral:rRNA from 2 species
AAAUUGAAGAGUUUGAUCAUGGCUCAGAUUGAACGCUGGCGGCAGGCCUAACACAUGCAAGUCGAGCGGUAGCACAGAGAGCUUGCUCUCGGGUGACGAGCGGCGGACGGGUGAGUAAUGUCUGGGAAACUGCCUGAUGGAGGGGGAUA